GACAGAGGUGCCAAGCGUUAGGCGGAAUCACUGGGCUUAAAGCGUGUGUAGGUGGAUUUGUAAGUACCUUGUGAAAUCCCAUGGCUCAACCAUGGAACUGCUCGGUAUACUGCGAGUCUUGAGCCACUUAGGGGCUACCGGAACAAAUGGUGGAGCGGUGAAAUGCGUAGAUAUCAUUUGGAACGCCAAUGGUGAAAACAGGUAGCUGGGAGUGUGCUGACACUGAGACACGAAAGCCAGGGGAGCGAACGGG
rnacentral:rRNA from 1 species